rnacentral:rRNA from 1 species
ACGGGGGGUGCGAGCGUUGUCCGGAAUCACUGGGCGUAAAGGGCGCGUAGGUGGUUUGAUAAGGGUGUGGUGAAAGCCCGGGGCUCAACCCCGGGUCUGCCGUGCCGACUGUCCAACUCGAGGACUGUAGAGGCAGACGGAAUUCCGGGUGUAGCGGUGGAAUGCGUAGAGAUCCGGAGGAAGACCGGUGGCGAAGGCGGUCUGCUGGGCAGUUUCUGACACUGAGGCACGAAAGCGUGGGGAUCAAACAGGA